GAUGAAGAACGUAGCGAAUUGCGAUAAGUAAUGUGAAUUGCAGAAUUCAGUGAAUCAUCGAAUCUUUGAACGCACAUUGCGCCCGCCAGUAUUCUGGCGGGCAUGCCUGUCCGAGCGUCAUUUCAACCCUCGAACCCCUCCGGGGGGUCGGCGUUGGGGACCUCGGGAGCCCCUAAGACGGGAUCCCGGCCCCGAAAUACAGUGGCGGUCUCGCCGCAGCCUCUCCUGCGCAGUAGUUUGCACAACUCGCACCGGGAGCGCGGCGCGUCCACGUCCGUAAAACACCCAACUUCUGAAAUGUUGACCUCGGAUCAGGUAGGAAUACCCGCUGAACUUAAGCAUAUCAAUAAGCGGAGGA
rnacentral:misc_RNA from 1 species